rnacentral:lncRNA from 1 species
AAUUAUAAAACUUGCUUUAUAGAAUGUUUAAAUGUUUUAAAUUAUAUUUAAUAGUAUUGAUCGCCGAUUUGAAAGUUACUAGCAUUAACUAAAAAAAGAAGUAAGAAAUAAUAACCUUAUGGGCAAUGUUAUACGAACCAAGUCCAACAGUGAUCCGAAAAUAUUAUUGAAUCAAGGAUCAUUGGUUCAAACCAAUGAGUCAACCAUUAAUUAAACCAAUGACGUCAGCAUAACAUAUUAAGAGCCUGUUUGGAUACACAGUAAAAUAUCUCAACGAAAUUUAUAAACUGUGGUUUCGUCUAGAUAAAAUGGAGAAUCCUGCAACUCUAAAAAAUUCCACGGAUUCAAUUUUUAAACUGUUUGGAUACGCAUUGUACAAUUUCACAGAAUUUUUCUAAAUUUUAAGAUUAAAAGUUAAAAUUUAAAAUUUN